rnacentral:rRNA from 1 species
CCUACGGGGAGCUGCAGUGAGGAAUAUUGGUCAAUGGACGAGAGUCUGAACCAGCCAAGUAGCGUGAAGGAUGACUGCCCUAUGGGUUGUAAACUUCUUUUAUAUGGGAAUAAAAUGUUCCACGUGUGGGAUUUUGUAUGUACCAUAUGAAUAAGGAUCGGCUAACUCCGUGCCAGCAGCCGCGGUAAUACGGAGGAUCCGAGAGUUAUCCGGAUUUAUUGGGUUUAAAGGGAGCGUAGGUGGAUUGUUAAGUCAGUUGUGAAAGUUUGCGGCUCAACCGUAAAAUUGCAGUUGAAACUGGCAGUCUUGAGUACAGUAGAGGUGGGCGGAAUUCGUGGUGUAGCGGUGAAAUGCUUAGAUAUCACGAAGAACUCCGAUUGCGAAGGCAGUUCACUGGACUGCAACUGACACUGAGGCUCGAAAGUGUGGGUAUCAAACAGGAUUAGAUACCCUUGUAGUC